GACGUAGGGCGCGAGCGUUGUCCGGAUUUAUUGGGCGUAAAGAGCUCGUAGGCGGUUUGUCGCGUCGGCCGUGAAAUCUCCACGCUUAACGUGGAGCGUGCGGUCGAUACGGGCAGACUUGAGUUCGGUAGGGGAGACUGGAAUUCCUGGUGUAGCGGUGAAAUGCGCAGAUAUCAGGAGGAACACCGGUGGCGAAGGCGGGUCUCUGGGCCGAUACUGACGCUGAGGAGCGAAAGCGUGGGGGAGCGAACAGG
rnacentral:rRNA from 1 species